rnacentral:rRNA from 1 species
UAACGCGUGGAUAACCUGCCUCAUACAGGGGGAUAACAGUUAGAAAUGACUGCUAAUACCGCAUAAGCGCACAGGACCGCAUGGUCCGGUGUGAAAAACUCCGGUGGUAUGGGAUGGAUCCGCGUCUGAUUAGCUGGUUGGUGAGGUAACGGCCCACCAAGGCGACGAUCAGUAGCCGACCUGAGAGGGUGGCCGGCCACAUUGGGACUGAGACACGGCCCAAACUCCUACGGGAGGCAGCAGUGGGGAAUAUUGCACAAUGGGGGAAACCCUGAUGCAGCAACGCCGCGUGAGUGAAGAAGUAUUUCGGUAUGUAAAGCUCUAUCAGCAGGGAAGAAGAAAGACGGUACCUGACUAAGAAGCCCCGGCUAACUACGUGCCAGCAGCCGCGGUAAUACGUAGGGGGCAAGCGUUAUCCGGAUUUACUGGGUGUAAAGGGAGCGUAGACGGCUGUGCAAGUCUGAAGUGAAAGCCCGUGGCUCAACCGCGGAACUGCUUUGGAAACUGUAUAGCUUGAGUACUGGAGAGGCAGGCGGAAUUCCUAGUGUAGCGGUGAAAUGCGUAGAUAUUAGGAGGAACACCAGUGGCGAAGGCGGCCUGCUGGACAGAAACUGACGUUGAGGCUCGAAAGCGUGGGGAGCAAACAGGAUUAGAUACCCUGGUAGU